rnacentral:rRNA from 1 species
UGGGGAAUUUUGGACAAUGGGCGAAAGCCUGAUCCAGCAAUGCCGCGUGUGUGAAGAAGGCCUUCGGGUUGUAAAGCACUUUUGUCCGGAAAGAAAUCCUUGGCUCUAAUACAGUCGGGGGAUGACGGUACCGGAAGAAUAAGCACCGGCUAACUACGUGCCAGCAGCCGCGGUAAUACGUAGGGUGCAAGCGUUAAUCGGAAUUACUGGGCGUAAAGCGUGCGCAGGCGGUUUGCUAAGACCGAUGUGAAAUCCCCGGGCUCAACCUGGGAACUGCAUUGGUGACUGGCAGGCUAGAGUAUGGCAGAGGGGGGUAGAAUUCCACGUGUAGCAGUGAAAUGCAUAGAGAUGUGGAGGAAUACCGAUGGCGAAGGCAGCCCCCUGGGCCAAUACUGACGCUCAUGCACGAAAGCGUGGGGAGCAAACAGGAUUAGAUACCCUGGUAGUCCACGCCCUAAACGAUGUCAACUAGUUGUUGGGGAUUCAUUUCCUUAGUAACGUAGCUAACGCGUGAAGUUGACCGCCUGGGGAGUACGGUCGCAAGAUU